GAUGAAGAACGUAGCGAAAUGCGAUAAGUAAUGUGAAUUGCAGAAUUCAGUGAAUCAUCGAAUCUUUGAACGCACAUUGCGCCCGCUAGUAUUCUGGCGGGCAUGCCUGUUCGAGCGUCAUUUCAACCCUCAGGCCCCCAGUGCCUGGCGUUGGGGAUCGGCCGCUGGCGUCCUUCGGGGCGCCUGGCCGGCCCCGAAAUCUAGUGGCGGUCUCGCUGUAGUCCUCCUCUGCGUAGUAGCACAACCUCGCAGUUGGAAGUCGGCGGUGGCCAUGCCGUUAAACACCCCACUUCUGAAAGUUGACCUCGGAUCAGGUAGGAAUACCCGCUGAACUUAAGCAUAUCAAUAAGCGGAGGA
rnacentral:misc_RNA from 1 species